rnacentral:rRNA from 1 species
GGUUGAUCCUGCCAGUAGUCAUAUGCUCGUCUCAAAGAUUAAGCCAUGCAUGUCUAAGUAUAAGCUGCUUAUACUGUGAAACUGCGAAUGGCUCAUUAAAUCAGUUAUAGUUUAUUUGAUGGUACACUCUACUCGGAUAACCGAUAGAAAAUAUCAGCUAAUACGUGCGUAAACCCCGACUCCUGGAAGGGGCGUAUUUAUUAGAUAAAAGACCGACCGGGCUUUGCCCGAUCCGCGGUGAAUCAUGAUAACUUCACGAAUCGCAAGGCCUAGAGCCGGCGAUGUUUCAUUC